GUAAAUUGGAGGGAAUUUUUUCAUAAAAGUGAGAACUUUUAAGAGCUGAUAGACAAAACCGUGCAUCGAAAUCUGAAGCUAGGGGGUUUAAUAUAGGUUCCAAUGAAUUAUUUUAGACAAUAGAUUGUAUUUUUAGAUUUUAUUUGAGUGAGUAAUAAUAAUUAUAUAAAAUCGGA
rnacentral:lncRNA from 1 species